rnacentral:lncRNA from 10 species
CCCAGUCUGGAAAGUGAGGAGCGUCUCUGCCCGGCCGCCAUCCCAUCUAGGAAGUGAGGAGCAUCUCUGCCCGGCCGCCCAUCGUCUGAGAGGUGGGGAGCACCUCUGCCUGGCAACCGCCCCGUCUGGGAAGUGAGGAGCGUCUCCGCCCGGCAGCCACCCCGUCCGGGAGGGAGGUGGGGGGGUCAGCCCCCCGCCCGGCCAGCCGCCCCGUCCGGGAGGUGAGGGGCUCCUCUGCCCGGCCGCCCCUACUGGGAGGGAUCCUAUGCUUCUAUUCACCUGGAAUCACACUGAUGCACAGACAUCUGUGAAUAGAAAUUAAAGUUAUUUGCUGAGGUAUUCAUGUUAAAAAAAUGCAUCUGGAACUGUGUAGCUUAAAGCUGCAGACGUGUCAACAACUACGCAUGAAAUGGAAUGUUCCCACUGGGAUCCACUCUUGAUACAUGACCAUUAUCUGUUCUUAACACUUUGCAUCUUACUCUGACAAUGUGAUGCUAGGGUCAGGACUUGCUCAGUUGGACACUACAAUGGAUAAUAUUUAAGAGAAGAGGCGAUCUGUUUCACAUUAAGUUUUCAAUAGAAUUUGCACUUGGAAUAAAUGGUAUCAAGACGAACCCUGUGCCAUUGUUUACUCAAUUUUCCUAGGGCUGGGCCAUAGAAUUACAAAGCAAGCCCUGCACCAAGCCUGCCAGGUUGUAUAUGGUGACAUUGCAGGGGGAAUUCUCAAUGAGAAGCACACAGUGGUCUCACUUCCACCACUGAAUGCCUCUCCCUUGGGCAAUGCACCUAGUCUGCCUGGACUGAACAUCUCACUAUGUUUAUCUUGUUGAGGAAGAUAAAUGGGUGUCAACUGGAUUGAGGCAUUGUUAGACUAGGGACCCCUGAGAUGAGGACAGCAAGCAGAAAUUGUGCCUCACACUGAGAAGUGCAAAGCGGCAGCAGGGGUUUUUAGUUGAUUAUGACAGCCAUGAUGCUUUGUCCUCAUUGUAAUUAUCACAGUAAAGCGUUGCAGUUUCUUUAGUCUUUUGAGGAAGUGAGGGAGUUGAAACUUUCAAUAUUCAUAAUGUUGUAAAAUCUCAAGUUUCCUAUUCAUGUAUUUUAUGUCUAAAAUACACAAAACAUAAAAUACAUGAAUAGGAAAAUCCUACUGUUACUUAUUAGCUGUUUGGGGCAAACUUGAUGGUGCCGAACAAUGGAGGAGUCCAUUUCAAUCUUGGUUAGCAAGAUUUCCCACAGAAAGGGGAGCAGUAACCCUACAGAGAAAAAGCGAGCCUUGAGGAGAGUGGAUGGAACGUGCUUGGGAUAGAGAGACACAGCUGGGGGCAGCACCUUCAUUCACACAGCCAGCCAUGGUGCCAGCCAGCACAGUGUGGAAGUAAAGAAAUCUACAAGGAGACUCACAACCCAAUGAACAGACUUUACUCAAGAGAGAUGCCAGGGAGAGACUUUUAGCUCAUUAGAAAACCAAAUCUGCCAGGCGCGGUGGCUCGUGCCUGUAAUCCCAGCACUUUGGGAGGCCAAGGCGAGGGGAUCACCUGAAAUCAGGAGUUCGAGACCAGCCUGACCAACAUGGAGAAACCUCAUCUCUACUAAAACUACAAAAUUAGCUGGGCAUGGUGGCACAUGUCUGUAAUCCCAGCUACUCAGGAGGCUGAGGCAGGUGAAUCACACGAACCCAGGAGUCAGAGGUUGCAGUGAGCCAAGAUCGCCCCAUUGCACUCCAGCCUGGGCAACAAGAGUGAAACUCCAUCUCAUUCCUGAGCCAAUCAGAGUAAUAAUUCCAUGCCUUCUCAUUUUGGUGGAAAUCUAAAGUGGUUUGGAUUUGAUAUAAAAACAGAAGAUUUAACAUUCCUAUUCUUAACUCUUUCUACUUCCAAGUCCUUGAAAUUAUAGAAAAGAUGUAAUAAAAUGAUAAUAAUUAAUGGCUGGGCAUGAUGACUCACAUCUGUAACCCCAGGACUUUAGGAGGCUAAGGCAGGAGGAUCACUUGAGCCCAGGACUUUGAGACCAGCUUGGGCAAUACAGUGAGACCUUGUUUCUCCAAAAAGUUUUAAAAAUUAUCCUGGCAUGGUGGCGUAUGCCUGUAGUCCCAACCGCACAGGAGGCUUAGGUGGGAGGAUCCACUGAACUCAGGAGGUGGUGGAUGCAGUGAGCUGAGAUCACUCAGUGCACUCCAGCCUGGGCAACAGGGUGAGACACUGUCACAAAAAAGGAAAAAAAAAAAAGACAAGAAAGAAUGUAAUCAGCAAAAAAUUAGAAGAAUUUCUGAAAGAUAAAAAGCACACAGCAUUUGAUUUUAAAAGAAAUAUAGUGUAAGGAAAGAACAACUAAACAAAAUGGAUGUAUCUUGUGAUCCAAGGAUUCCUACUCUUAGAUAUACCUACAAGAAAAGCACAUAUGCUGAUGGCUCUAUUAUUAGAAACAGCAAAAAUAGAAACCAUUCAAAUGUCCAUUAACAGUGGAAUGGAAAAAUUAUUAUAAAUUUGCACAGUAGAAUACCGUACAAAUGUUACUGGGAGGGGUGCAGGGUCUGUGGCUCUUGCCUUCUUGGAAGAAAGAAUUCAGCCAAGAGAUGCACAGCAAGGGUUAAGCAGCAGAGUUUCUUGAGGGAAGAUAGAGGACAGUUCAAGAAGGGAGUGGGCUGGCCUGACUGGAAAGCAGCGGCAGCAGCGAGGUUUAUUUAAAGGGAGAGCACACACUGAAUGACAAGGCAGAGCAGGUUGCUGGAGAGAGGGAGUGAGCCAGCAGCAGCCAGUGCUGGGGACUCUCUUUAUGAGGAUCUUACAUGAUUAUUCAUGAAGGGAUGUGAGGGGCUGUCACUUGCAAUCAUGUAUUAGGUGGUUCCACAUGCUCUAUGGCUGUACAUGCUAGUACACACAUGAAAUGUCUCAUUAGCAUUUAAAACCUCCACCUAGGGGUGUGUUUUUUAUAAUUGUAAUGGGCAAAGUCUACUGCAGGGUGAGUUACUGGAGGAGUGAGCAUGCUUGCCAAUGGGAAAAGUCUCUACCAUGGUUGUCUCCAGCUAGAGCCUGAGGAGUCCCCCUUAGGGCUGGAGGAACCCAACCACAACAUAAAAGUAGCCAGUGUAAACUACUACCACACACAACAACGUGGCUGAAUCUCACAAAAGUAAGAUUGAGGGAAACCAGUCAGGAAAGAAAGGACAAUUAUGAUUCCAUUUAUACACAGUGCAAAAACUUGGCAGCACUAAUAUAUUCUAACCGGAAUGGUAUUGUCUUCAGGAAACUGGAAGUGUGGGAGGUAACUGUGAAGAGGAAAAAUAGGGUUUCUGGGUACUGGGAAAUAUUCUGUUUCUUGAUCUUGGUUGUACUUAAAGAUGUUUCACUUAGUGAUAUUUCACUGAGCUGUACACUCAGCGUAAUAUGAUUUGUGCGUGUCAUAUGUGUAUAUUAUACUUCAAUAAAAAUAGCAUUUAAAAAACACAACUCUGAACAGCACAACUGAUUGGAUAUAGAGAGUGAUUAGUAACCUGAAAGAUUUUGGUUGAGAGGAAAGAUUAUCCAGAAAGCAGUGCAAACAGAUGGAAAGGAUGAGAAAAAAGUGUAAAGCCAGUACGUAAAGAUGCAGUAAUUCUACAUAAAAAAAAGAUUUCUAGGAAACGUGGGAAAGUGAAUUUAAUCUAAUAUUGCUGAGGCAUGUUAAAGGGUGUGAUUAAUCGUAUGUGCUAAAUCACUCAUUGGAAGUACUAGUAAAGAAUUAGUUGGAAAAUAAUUGCAAAGUAAGCUCAAUGGAAUUAUUGGUGCAAACUGAAUAUCUUCUGACUGUUUACUAAAAGAAGGGUGAUGUAUAACAACCGUAGGUUUUAUUCAUAUAAAUGAGCUGAAAAUUCACAGUAGCUUUGUAACUACUUGCUGGAUAACUGCAUACAUUCAGGGAUUUUUUUCCCCAAUAAUAAAAACUUUUACUCAUAAUCACCAAAACUUAGAUGGAACCAAGAUGUCCUUCAGUAGAUUAAUGGAUAAAUAUACUGUGGUACAUCCAGACAAUGGAAUAUUGUUCAUCAGUAAAAAGGAAGGAGCUAUCGAGCUAUGGAGGAAACUUACAUGCUACUACAUGAAAGAAGCCAAUCUGAAAAGGCUACAUGUUGUAGAAUUCCAACUCUGUGACACUCUGGAAAAUGCAAAACUAUGGAGACUGUGAAAAUAUCAGUGGUUUCUAGAAAUUGGGUGAAGGCGGGGAUGAAUAGGCCGAGUGCAGAGGAUUUUUAGGGCAGUGAAACUAUUCCAUAUGAUGCUAUGAUGGUGGAAACGUGUCAUCGUACAUGUGUCAAAACACAUAGAAUACACAGUAACAAGAAUGAGCACUAAUAUAAACUAUGGACUUUAGGUGAUUAAUGAGGUGGCAAUGCAGGCUCAUCAAUUGUAAGAAAAUGCACCACUCUAGUGGGUGAUGUUGAUAAUGGGGGUGGGAGUGUUACACACAGGUGGGGCUAAGAGUAUAUGGGACAUCUCUGUACCUUCUGCUCAAUUUUGCUGUGAACCUAAAACUGCUCUAAGAAAUAAAGCCUACUGAUAUGGUUUGAAUCUCUGUCCCCACCCAAAACUCACAUUGAAUUGUAAUCCCCAGUGUGGGAGGUAGGGCCUGGUGGAAGGUGAUCGGAUCAUGGGGACGGCGUUCUCAUGAAUGGUUUAGUACAUCCCCUUGGUACUGUACAGUGAGUGAGUUCUCAUGAGAUCUGGUUAUUUAAAAGUGUUUAGCACCCUCCUCCCUUCCUCCUGCUCUGCCAUGUAGAUGUGCCUGCUUCCUCUUCACCUUCUGCCAUGACUAGAAGCUUCUUGAGUCCUCCCCAGAUGCCACUGUGCUUCCUGUACAGCCUGCAGAACCGUGAGCCAAUUAAAUCUCUUCUUUACAGACUGGGCGUGGUGGCUCACACCUGUAAUCCCAGCACUUUGGGAGGCUGAGGCAGGCGAAUCACUUGAGGCCAGGAGUUCAAGACCAGCCUGGACAUCAUGGCAAAACCCCGUCUCUACUAAAAACACUAAAAUUAACCAGGUGUAGUGGCGCACGCCUUUAGCUAUUUGAGUGGCUGAGGCAUGAGAAUCUCUUGAACCUGGGAAGUGAAGGCUGCAGUGAGCUAUGAUGCUGAGAUCACACCACUGAACUCCAGCCUGGGCAACACAGCUAGACUGUUUCAAAAAAAAGAAAAAAAAUCUUCUUUAUAAAUUACCCAGUUUCAGGUAUUUCUUUAUAGCAAUGUGAGCAUGGACUAAUAGUCUACUAAAAAGAAAAAAGGUUAUUCUACACAAAGUGGUAUGUUCCUCUGGGUAGAGAUUUCCCUUUUUUUCCUCCCAAAAAUUUGGUUAUAAGGAUGGGAUCCCUCAACUAAGCCCUCCACUGGGCACAUUUCUUGGAGUAUUUGUAGCCAUCUUUAAUCAAAUAAGGGACUAUUUGCUAAAAAGUGUUUCUUCAACUACUUUGGUUCAGUGGAAUUGGGUUCCCAGGGAAAAUCCCAAACUCUCACUAGAAGUUUUGAGUUACCAUUGAGUAAAAUUGGUAAUGUGGCUGAAAGGCCCUGUGUGGUUUGCUGUUGGCUUUAAUGGUAAAAUGUUCUGAAAACUCUGGAAUGCUGUCAGCGGGUCCCUCUCCUGGAAGGCGUGCUUCACUCUGCCAUGCCGGGCUCCAGGAGGAUAACUGCUUGCUGCUCCAGCAACUCAGGCUGCUUGCUGUGCCUGGAAUGCUCAGCAUGAGGGGCCACCGAGGGCAGUUCCUGAAGCCUCUCCACUGAAGGUGGACUGGGAGAAGCCACAGUGCCACGCUUCUUAGCCACAUGAGGCCCGUGAGUUUUCACCAGCUGUUCACCUUUCCUAAGUCCAAGGCAUGUCUCAGGGGGUCCGGGCUCCUGAUCCUCUCCACUUCUGUGGCAGCUUUGUUGCAGAGAAUUCAAGAGAGCAAAUAAGGGAAAAUGUAGUUGGGUGGCAAGAAUAAUUUCUCACGUUUUGAGGGAAGUAGCCCAAGUUUGGGAAAAUAUGGAGAAAGAUAAAGAAGACAAAAAAAUAGCCCUUAAGAUUUCCCAGUUAGAAUUAUUCACAAAGGGAAUAAACCCUUAUCUGGGGCCACCACCAGACAAGAAGGAACCCCGUAAUGGAAAGUCAAUAUGUUACUGUUGUAAGAAAUCAGGACAGUGGAGGAAAAAUGAAUGCUAAACGAGGGUCAAGAAGAGUUGAGAGAUACAAGCUAACUCUAAAGCUUUACCGUCAUCUCCAAGAGAUUUUUGCCUAAGGAAAUUGGACAAAAAGUAAUUGGAAAAUUGUGGAAAGUAACCUCAGAGCUGAGGGUGGGAGGCAUUUAUGUGUCUCUUUCUUUUCCCACUUUAAGCUUGUCCUGAUCUUUCUUGUGAACACUGAAGGCACACACUCCACAAUUUCUACAGACGGUUAUCAUUUUACGUCAACCUAGGAAAACAUCCAACUUUUGGGUACCUCUAGACAACCUUCUCCCUGUUCUUUCUUCUCUGAGGUUUCUCAACAAGUAGAUUCUCCAUACUGUAGAUGGAGUGUUUUCAGAGCUCCCAGGAGGCAAGGAGUUGGUAAAUAAGCACUUUCUAAAAUAAAAGAACUAUCAUUAUCUAUUUGUUCAUCAAAUAGAUACUUAGGUUUUUCCCAUAUCUUGACUAUUGUGAAUAAUGCUGCAAUGAACUGAGACUGCCGACAUUUUCACAAGGUCACUUUCUCUGACUAUAUGCCCAGAGGAGAGAUUGCUAGGCCAUAAUGUAGUUCUUUUUAAAAUUUCCUUAGGAGCCUCCAUACUGUUUUGCAUAAUGGCUGUGGCAAUCUACAUUUCCACUAACAGAGUACAAGCAUCCCCUUUUCUACAUACCCUCACCAACACUUAUUAUCUCCUGACUUUUUGAUAGUAGCCAUGCUUACAGAUGUGAGACAUUUCACAGUGGCUUUAAUUCACAUUUUCCUGGUGACUGAUAACAUUGAGCACAUUUUCAUAUACCUGUUGGCCACUUUUAACGUCUUCUUUGGAGAAGUGGCUAUGUAGGUCCCUUGUCCAUUUUUUUAAUUCGGUUGUUUGUUUUUUUAAUAUGGAAUUGUAUGAGUUCUUUAUAAAUAUUGGAUUUUGUUUCCAAAUCUGUAGGUUGCCAUUUUAUUUUGUUGAUUGUGUUUUUUGCUGUUCAGCCUUUAAAAAGAAGGAGAUCUUGCCAUUUGCCACAACAUGCAUGAACCUGGAGGACACUAUGCAAAGUGAAACAAGCCAGACAAAGAAUGAAAAAUAUUCCAUGAUCUCACUUACAUAUUGAAUCUUUUAAAAAAACAGGUAAACAAAGACAGCGAAUGAAACAGGGUUACCAGGGGGACUGGAGAGGGUGGGGGAUGGGAAGAUAUAGGUCAGAAGGUACAAAGUAGCAGGUGUGUGGGAUAAACAAGUCCAGAGAUCUCAUGUACAACAUGAGGACUAGUGUUAAAAAAAAUUGUGCUGUAUUUGGAAUUCCUGAUAAAUGAGUUGAUUUUAGUUGCUAUUACCACAAAACAAAAACAAAAACAAAAAUGGGUAACUAUGUGAGAUGAUGGAUGUGUUAAUCUGCUUCACUAUAAUAACCAUUUUACUGUAUAUAUGUAUAUAUAUGUAUCUUAAAGCAUCAUGUUUUACAUCUUAAAUAUACACAAUAAAAUUUAUUUUAAAAAUUAAAAUAAAAUAAAAGCAUCUCAAAUUAGAAGGGCUCAAGGAACAAAUAAUAUGGGUUAGUAAAAGAAAUUGAAUCCUGCUCUGGUUUGAAUGUUUGUGUCCCCUUCAAAAUGUGUGUUGAAGCUUCAUUUC